rnacentral:rRNA from 1 species
AGCGAACGCUGGCGGCAGGCUUAACACAUGCAAGUCGAGCGCCCCGCAAGGGGAGCGGCAGACGGGAGAGUAACACGUGGGAACAUACCUUUUGGUUCGGAACAACUGAGGGAAACUUCAGCUAAUACCGGAUAAGCCCUUACGGGGAAAGAUUUAUCGCCGAAAGAUUGGCCCGCGUCUGAUUAGCUAGUUGGUGAGGUAACGGCUCACCAAGGCGACGAUCAGUAGCUGGUCUGAGAGGAUGAUCAGCCUCACUGGGACUGAGACACGGCCCAGACUCCUACGGGAGGCAGCAGUGGGGAAUAUUGGACAAUGGGGGCAACCCUAAUCCAGCCAUGCCGCGUGAGUGAUGAAGGCCUUAGGGUUGUAAAGCUCUUUUGCCCGGGAAGAUAAUGACGGUACCGGGAGAAUAAGCCCCGGCUAACUUCGUG